GAGUUUGAUCCUGGCUCAGAUUGAACGCUGGCGGCAUGCCUUACACAUGCAAGUCGAACGGCAGCACGGGAGCUUGCUCCUGGUGGCGAGUGGCGAACGGGUGAGUAAUGCAUCGGAACGUAUCCUGGAGUGGGGGAUAACGUAGCGAAAGUUACGCUAAUACCGCAUAUUCUGUGAGCAGGAAAGCGGGGGACCUUCGGGCCUCGCGCUCUUGGAGCGGCCGAUGUCGGAUUAGCUAGUUGGUGAGGUAAAGGCUCACCAAGGCGGCGAUCCGUAGCAGGUCUGAGAGGAUGAUCUGCCACACUGGAACUGAGACACGGUCCAGACUCCUACGGGAGGCAGCAGUGGGAAUUUUGGACAAUGGGGGCAACCCUGAUCCAGCCAUGCCGCGUGAGUGAAGAAGGCCUCGGUUGUAAGUACGU
rnacentral:rRNA from 1 species